GGACGGUGGCCAUGGAAGUCGGAACCCGCUAAGGAGUGUGUAACAACUCACCUGCCGAAGGUACUAGCCCUGAAAAUGGAUGGCGCUCAAGCGGACCACCGAUGCGCGGCCGCCGGCGCGAGCGCGAGGCGCCGGCGAGUAGGAGGGCGCGGGGCGCGCCGCGCAGCCUUGGGCGUGAGCCUGGGUGAAGCGCGCCCCGGUGCAGAUCUUGGUGGUAGUAGCAUUAUUCAAAUGAGAACUUUGA
rnacentral:rRNA from 1 species